rnacentral:rRNA from 1 species
AUGAACGCUAGCUACAGGCUUAACACAUGCAAGUCGAGGGGCAGCAUGGUCUUAGCUUGCUAAGGCCGAUGGCGACCGGCGCACGGGUGAGUAACACGUAUCCAACCUGCCGUCUACUCUUGGACAGCCUUCUGAAAGGAAGAUUAAUACAAGAUGGCAUCAUGAGUCCGCAUGUUCACAUGAUUAAAGGUAUUCCGGUAGACGAUGGGGAUGCGUUCCAUUAGAUAGUAGGCGGGGUAACGGCCAACCUAGUCUUCGAUGGAUAGGGGUUCUGAGAGGAAGGUCCCCCACAUUGGAACUGAGACACGGUCCAAACUCCUACGGGAGGCAGCAGUGAGGAAUAUUGGUCAAUGGGCGAGAGCCUGAACCAGCCAAGUAGCGUGAAGGAUGACUGCCCUAUGGGUUGUAAACUUCUUUUAUAAAGGAAUAAAGUCGGGUAUGCAUACCCGUUUGCAUGUACUUUAUGAAUAAGGAUCGGCUAACUCCGUGCCAGCAGCCGCGGUAAUACGGAGGAUCCGAGCGUUAUCCGGAUUUAUUGGGUUUAAAGGGAGCGUAGAUGGAUGUUUAAGUCAGUUGUGAAAGUUUGCGGCUCAACCGUAAAAUUGCAGUUGAUACUGGAUAUCUUGAGUGCAGUUGAGGCAGGCGGAAUUCGUGGUGUAGCGGUGAAAUGCUUAGAUAUCACGAAGAACUCCGAUUGCGAAGGCAGCCUGCUAAGCUGCAACUGACAUUGAGGCUCGAAAGUGUGGGUAUCAAACAGGAUUAGAUACCCUGGUAGUCCACACGGUAAACGAUGAAUACUCGCUGUUUGCGAUAUACAGCAAGCGGCCAAGCGAAAGCGUUAAGUAUUCCACCUGGGGAGUACGCCGGCAACGGUGAAACUCAAAGGAAUUGACGGGGGCCCGCACAAGCGGAGGAACAUGUGGUUUAAUUCGAUGAUACGCGAGGAACCUUACCCGGGCUUAAAUUGCAGAUGAAUUACGGUGAAAGCCGUAAGCCGCAAGGCAUCUGUGAAGGUGCUGCAUGGUUGUCGUCAGCUCGUGCCGUGAGGUGUCGGCUUAAGUGCCAUAACGAGCGCAACCCUUGUUGUCAGUUACUAACAGGUUCCGCUGAGGACUCUGACAAGACUGCCAUCGUAAGAUGUGAGGAAGGUGGGGAUGACGUCAAAUCAGCACGGCCCUUACGUCCGGGGCUACACACGUGUUACAAUGGGGGGGUACAGAGGGCCGCUACCACGCGAGUGGAUGCCAAUCCCAAAAACCUCUCUCAGUUCGGACUGGAGUCUGCAACCCGACUCCACGAAGCUGGAUUCGCUAGUAAUCGCGCAUCAGCCACGGCGCGGUGAAUACGUUCCCGGGCCUUGUACACACCGCCCGUCAAGCCAUGGGAGCCGGGGGUACCUGAAGUGCGUAACCGCGAGGAGCGCCCUAGGGUAAAACUGGUGACUGGGGCU